rnacentral:rRNA from 1 species
CAGUCGCCGCGGGAAUACGAAGGGUGCAAGCGUUACUCGGAAUUACUGGGCGUAAAGCGUGUGUAGGUGGUUGUUUAAGUCUGUCGUGAAAGCCCUGGGCUCAACCUGGGAAUUGCGAUGGAUACUGGGCGACUAGAGUGCGGUAGAGGAUAGUGGAAUUUCCGGUGUAGCAGUGAAAUGCGUAGAGAUCGGAAGGAACAUCUGUGGCGAAGGCGACUAUCUGGGCCAACACUGACACUGAGGCACGAAAGCAUGGGGAGCAAACAGGAUUAGAUACCCCGGUAGUCCCUGUCUCUUAUAA